UCUGCCUGAGGAGUGGGGGAUAACAUUCGGAAACGGAUGCUAAUGCCGCAUAUCUUCUGGAACCGCAUGGUUCUUGAACGAAAGACGGCUUCGGCUGUCGCUCUUAGAUGAUCCCGCGGCGUGUUAGUUAGUUGGUGGGGUAAAGGCCUACCAAGACCAUGAUACGUAGCCGACCUGAGAGGGUGAUCGGCCACACUGGGACUGAGACACGGCCCAGACUCCCACGGGAGGCAGCAGUAGGGAAUCUUCCACAAUGGGUGAAAACCUGAUGGAGCAAUGCCGCGUGAAUGAAGAAGGUCUUCGGAUCGUAAAGUUCUGUUAUUAGAGAAGAACAAGUCAAGGAGUAACUGUCUUGACUUUGACGGUACCUAACCAGAAAGUCACGGCUAACUACGUGCCAGCAGCCGCGGUAAUACGUAGGUGACAAGCGUUGUCCGGAAUUAUUGGGCGUAAAGGGAGCGCAGGCGGUUGGAAUAGUCUGAUGUGAAAGCCCACGGCUUAACCGUGGAAGGUCAUUGGAAACUGUCCAACUUGAAUACAGAAGAGGUAAGUGGAAUUCCAAGUGUAGCGGUGAAAUGCGUAGAUAUUUGGGGGAACACCAGUGGCGAAGGCGACUUACUGGUCUGUAAUUGACGCUGAGGCUCGAAAGCGUGGGUAGCAAACAGGAUUAGAUACCCUGGUAGUCCUGGCCGUAAACGAUGAAUGCUA
rnacentral:rRNA from 1 species